CUAGCGACUUCAGAGUUUGAUCCUGGCUCAGGACGAACGCUGGCGGCGUGCCUAACACAUGCAAGUCGAACGAACUGAGGAGAGCUUGCUCUCCGACGUUAGUGGCGGACGGGUGAGUAACGCGUGAGUAACCUGCCUGUCAGAGGGGGAUAACGUUUGGAAACGAACGCUAAUACCGCAUGAAACCACAGUAUCGCAUGAUACAAUGGUCAAAGGAGAAAUCCGCUGACAGAUGGACUCGCGUCUGAUUAGAUAGUUGGUGAGGUAACGGCUCACCAAGUCGACGAUCAGUAGCCGGACUGAGAGGUUGAACGGCCACAUUGGGACUGAGACACGGCCCAG
rnacentral:rRNA from 1 species